GGCGCUUUCGUCUAGUGGCUAGGACAUAUGCCUCUCACUCAUCAUCUUGUAACGAACACGGGUUCGAUUCCCGUAGGCGCUA
rnacentral:tRNA from 1 species